rnacentral:rRNA from 1 species
UACGUAGGCAGCAAGCGUUGUUCGGAAUUACUGGGCGUAAAGAGUGUGUAGGCGGUGCUCUAAGUUCGUUGUGAAAUCUCCCGGCUUAACUGGGAGGGUGCGGCGGAAACUGGAGUGCUUGAGCGCGGGAGAGGAAGGCGGAAUUCCUGGUGUAGCGGUGAAAUGCGUAGAUAUCAGGAGGAACACCUGUGGUGUAGACGGCUUUCUGGACCGUAGCUGACGCUGAGACACGAAAGCGUGGGUAGCAAACAGG